rnacentral:rRNA from 1 species
GAUGAACGCUGGCGGCGUGCUUAACACAUGCAAGUCGAACGAUGAAGCCCAGCUUGCUGGGUGGAUUAGUGGCGAACGGGUGAGUAACACGUGAGUAACCUGCCCUUAACUCUGGGAUAAGCCUGGGAAACUGGGUCUAAUACCGGAUAGGAGCGUCCACCGCAGGGUGGGUGUUGGAAAGAUUUAUCGGUUUUGGAUGGACUCGCGGCCUAUCAGCUUGUUGGUGAGGUAAUGGCUCACCAAGGCGACGACGGGUAGCCGGCCUGAGAGGGUGACCGGCCACACUGGGACUGAGACACGGCCCAGACUCCUACGGGAGGCAGCAGUGGGGAAUAUUGCACAAUGGGCGCAAGCCUGAUGCAGCGACGCCGCGUGAGGGAUGACGGCCUUCGGGUUGUAAACCUCUUUCAGUAGGGAAGAAGCGAAAGUGACGGUACCUUCAGAAGAAGCACCGGCUAACUACGUG